rnacentral:snRNA from 1 species
AGCUUUGCCAGUGGCAGUAUCGUAGCCAAUGAAGUUUAUCCGAGGUGUGAUUAUUGCUAAUUGAAAACUUUUCCCAAUACCCUGCCGUGACGACUUCAGUAUAGUCGACAUUGGCAAUUUUUGACAAUCUCUGUGGAGA